GGUGGUAAAUUUCAUCUAAAGCUAAAUAUUGGCCAGAGACCGAUAGCGCACAAGUAGAGUGAUCGAAAGAUGAAAAGCACUUUGGAAAGAGAGUCAAACAGCACGUGAAAUUGUUGAAAGGGAAGCGCUUGCGACCAGACCUGCUCGCGGGUGAUCAGCGGUGCUUUUCGCGCCGUGCACUCAUCCGCGAUCAGGCCAGCAUCGGUUCAGGCGGCCGGAUAAAGACUCGGAGAAUGUAGCUCCCUCCGGGGAGUGUUAUAGCUCCUUGUGCAAUACGGCCAGCCGGGACCGAGGACCGCGCUCCGGCUAGGAUGCUGGCGUAAUGGUCGUAAGCGACCCGUCUUGAAACACGGACCAAGGAGUCUAACAUCUGUGCGAGUGUUUGGGCGUCAAACCCAUGCGCGCAAUGAAAGUGAACGUGAGGUGGGAACCCUUUCGGGGGCGCACCAUCGACCGAUCCAGAUGUCUUCGGAUGGAUUUGAGUAAGAGCACAGCUGUUGGGACCCGAAAGAUGGUGAACUAUGCCUGAAUAGGGUGAAGCCAGAGGAAACUCUGGUGGAGGCUCGCAGCGGUUCUGACGUGCAAAUCGAUCGUCAAAUUUGGGUAUAGGGGCGAAAGACUAAUCGA
rnacentral:rRNA from 1 species